CCUGAACGCUGGCGGCGUGGCUAAGACAUGCAAGUCGCACGGGCCGUCGCAAGACGGUCAGUGGCGGACGGGUGAGUAAUGUAUCGCUAACGUACCCUGGACUCUGGGAUAGCUGUCCGAAAGGACAGGUAAUACCGGAUGAGACCACAAGCAGGCAUCUGCUGGUGCUCAAAGGUCCGCCGGUCUGGGAGCGGGCGAUAUCGUAUCAGCUAGUUGGGA
rnacentral:rRNA from 1 species